GAGUGUGUUAAAACAAUCCUUUACUAUGUACAUGUCUUGGGCUCUUUUUGUUGGCUAAAGUUACGUACACAUUCACUACGGUCGUUUUUUAAAGUAAGCUGUGAAUUCAGCGGAGUGCUUACAAUACAGCGGCUGAGAGUUUUACCUGCCCAUUCAUUGUGAUUGUGGCUAGAAGCGAGGCUGCAGCAGUUGGCACAUCGGACGCUCUCGCCUUUUUAAAUUUAAAUAAUUUUCUGUAACUACCUUAGAUAAUACUAUUCGAGCUGGUAUAAGAUCUAACGAAGUAAUAUCAAAAACUCGCAACGAAUUCCUGGUGUUGAGAAGUAUCUAGCUUAGUUUAAAUUGAGACUGUGUAGUGACUGGCUGAGAAAAUCUCCGUUGGAACGAUAAGGGAAUAAAAAGAUUUCAAUUGAGUUGCCUAGUAUAUUUUGUUAAUUGCGUGAAACAGCGCAGCUAGAACUGGAAAAGCUUAAAACUGGAGAAACAAAACCGAGUUAAACUGAUUCGAGACAAAAUGGUCCUGGCUGAGAGAAACUCAGAGUUGGUACGGAAUGGGAGGCGAUCACGCGGUCCAAGUCCGAAUGGUCACGGCGGCAGCGUUGCUGGUGGUACAGUAGGCGGGAGUUCCAAUAUUGGUAGUGGGGGUACUGGUGGUGCGGGAACUCCGGAAACUAGUUCCGAUGAUGAUAAUUCCAUUAAGCGCAACGGAAAGUCAAAAAAUAAACAGAGCGAAUAUGAGGAAAAAAUUCGUGUCGGUCGCGACUACCAGGCCAUAUGUCCACCUCUUAUACCAGAAAAUGAACGUAAACCAGAAGGUCUUAACGAUCGCGCCUUAUUAGUUUGGUCACCUACUAAAGAGAUACCAGAUGCGAAACUGGAAGAAUAUAUAUCAGUUGCUAAAGAGAAAUACGGUUAUAAUGGUGAACAGGCCCUAGGCAUGUUGUUCUGGCAUAAACAUGAUCUAGAACGCGCCGUAAUGGAUCUGGCUAAUUUCACUCCCUUCCCCGAUGAAUGGACAGUGGAAGACAAAGUGUUAUUUGAACAAGCAUUUCAAUUCCAUGGAAAGAGCUUUCACCGCAUUCGGCAAAUGUUGCCUGAUAAAUCGAUAGCUAGUUUGGUGAAAUACUACUACUCAUGGAAAAAGACACGGCACAGACAAAGCGUAAUGGACCGACAAGAAAAGGCAAAAGCAAGUAAAGAAGGUUCAGAAAAUGGCAGUGAAAAUGGUAGCAAUGAAGAAUCUGAUACAGAUGACAAGGAUCAAGCAUUGGCCUCAACUUCUGGGUUGCAAGAUCAAACGAAAGUAGGCGGCAGCGGUAUUGGCGGUGUAGGCGCAUCUGCCGAUUUACAAAACAAAUCAAAUAAGUCGAGCGAAGUCGGUGUUGCUGCAGGUGGCAGCAGCGGUCUCGGCGGCGAAGCUGACAGUGAGAACACAACUGCUUCUGGUUCGUUGAAUGUAAUCGCCACAGGACGCGACAGUGGUCUAGUUGCCAAUGUUGGUGCCGUGUCAAGCGGUUUUAAACAUCAGCGCCAACAGACGCCGCCCAACAUGGCGAAUACCGAUUCGUCGUGUUCAAAUGCGGACUCAACGGGCUUGAGCGGUUGUUGCACCAAUUGUGGAGUUCCUUGCACUGUGCUUAACGCAUCGCCGCACGGUAAACUAUGUUCAAGUUGCCACCACCAUUGGAGGCGUACCGGUAAUAAGAGACCUACUUCUGGUCCAUACUUUGGUAAGCGAUCACGCGAUCGCAAUGCUGAAAGGCACAAGCGUAAACCACCGCGAGGCAUGUAUAUUAAUCACGAUGAUAUUGUGGCACUGGCCAGAGCUAACGACAAUCAAGACGAAUUACUUGCCAAUACAGACAGGGAAAUCGUUUCAUUAUUGAGCCAAGUUCAGCUAAAUAAGCAAAAUAUAUCCGCCCUAAAGCGUAAGAAUUCCGAAGGAUUAGAUGAUAUGCGUCCAACUGAGAACUCCAAUCGCAUAAACUCACGUUGGUCCAACGAUGAAGCUUUGCUGGUUGUGCAGGGAGUACGAAAAUAUGGCAAGGACUUCCAAACAAUAGCCGAAACGAUUGGCACGAAGACAGAGGCUCACGUACGCACUUUCUUUGUUAGCAACCGUCGACGUUACAAUCUAGAUCAGGAACUAAAAAAGUAUGAAGCAGAAAAAGAGGAAGCAGCUGUAGCUGCCAAUGCUUCUGCAGCUGUAAUUGAAACGACCAACGAAAACAAAAAGAAGGAUGACUUGAAAAAGAGGGAAAUCCCUGCGUCAACUGGUGGUGUGGUCGGUGGCGUUUCGUCUGUUGUUGGCGAUGAAUCGGAUAAUACAACCUCAAGUGAAACAACUGCAUCAAAAUCCAUAAACGACGAAGCCAAGUGUAAUAAUAGCAAUACCAAUUUACAAAAGGACAACGUUAUAAUGGAGAUUGACUUAGAUGCUGAUCAAACGGAUAUAGCACCACCAGCCAAAAAGUUCGCACUCCAUGUUGGAGGGCAGGAGUUUCCCAAAGCGAGUGCAAACUAAGUCAAUGAUGAUGGUUUUACGCAGUAGGAAGAGAGAUCACAGAGAGGGAAAGCAUUCUCUAAUGCAAAUCAGUGCAGAACAAGACAGGAGAUACUGGGGGCUCGGUAUCGAUAUACACAAUAACAGUUGUACUAUUAUAGAGGAGUAAAAGAAGAAAAACUGGCGGUUGGAAAAAAUUGACACUUAACAAAUUGUGGAGUUUUAAAAUACAAGAAGCUUGUUUACCUGAUAAGUAGUUUUAGUUUUUUUGACAUAUAAACCCAAAAACUCGAUGAAUGAUAUUGAGUUUAUUUUUAAAUAAAUAUCAGAUUUUAAAGCAAUAAUGGCCCUAUUAUGAGUUGCAUUCGAUUUUCGAU